rnacentral:lncRNA from 1 species
AGCAUCGUGAGCUUUGAUAAGAGGUUAGUCUGCAUAUAUUCCAAGAGGUUAGUCUGCAUAUAUUCCAAUCUCAGUAUUUGUUGGAUGUUCAUGGUAAUAAAGUUGGAGGUGAAGUCUUUGAUUUUUUGUAGGUAUUUUACCAUAUUUAGUUCGCACGCCUCAUAUUCUCCCUGUACCUAUCCAACAAUGAGCUGAGAGUCACUAUGAACUCUGAGAUGCCG